rnacentral:lncRNA from 8 species
GGCAGAUGUGUUGUUACCUAUUCUUACCACCUGGGGGGAGGCCUGUCAGGAAGUCCAGGAUCCAGUUGCAGAGGGAGGUGUUUAGUCCCAGAGUCCUUAACUUGAUGAGCUUUUUAGGGCACUAUGGUGUUGAACACUGAGCUGUAGUCGAUGAACAGCAUCAUCAUAUUGGUAAUCCUCUUUUCUAGGUGGAAGAGGGCAGAGUGGAGUGUGAUUGAGAUUGCGUCUUCUGUGGAUCUGUUGGGGUGGUAUACGAAUUAGAGUAGGUCUAGGGUGUCUGGAAUGAAGAUGUUAUGUGCCAUGACCAGCCUUACAAAGCACUUCAUUAUUACAGAUGUGAGUGCUACAGGGCGGUAGUCAUUGUGGCAGGAUGCCAUAGAGUUUUUGGGGACAGGAAUGAUGGUAGUCAGCUUGAAACGUCGGGAUUACAGAGGAGAGGUUGAAAAUGUCAGUGCAUUUGUCAGCUCUGCGUGCACACAGGUUAUUGCUGUACAGUACAUUUUAUGAUACAUUUCAUCUAGUCUUCACUAUCUAGUCGCCGUAUCACAACAGAAAGAAUCAUGCUACACAUUAGCAACUUCUUCAGUGAUUUACUACUGCUACCGCUAACUUUUUUAACUACAAAACACAGAAACUGUCACGUUGGUAUAAGGGAUCGGGAGACAGGUGCAGGAAUGCGUCUCAGAAGAAGAAGUGUCAUCCAAGCUUCUUUUUUAUACAUUUGUGCCGGUGCUAAAGACAUUGCCAAUUAAAAUCACGCUCACAAAGGCUGCGAAUACAGGACUACUCGCAGGCAAACCAAAUAAGGUACUUGGCACCAACUUCAAUCAGACACUUUUGUGUGGUCUCAAUUCUUACACUGUAAAAGAAAAAUAUGUUGAUUCAACAUAAAAUUGUAAGGGAACCAGCUGCACUCAGGAUUGUGCAUUUUCAACUGGUUGCAUUACAAUUGUAUGUUGAAUAAACAUAUUUUUUAUUGUAUUUUUUACAGUGUAUGCAUGAAUACAUGCAUUUAUAAAAAAAAAGUCUGAUAAUAUUCCUGUCAAAACAUUAUUAACAAUGCACUAACUGAACAAGAUGAGAUGAUGUCUCUUCAUUGAUACAGCUAUUUCAAAUGUCAUACGCUCAUCAGAUGAGAAAGAAAGAAAAUAUGUUUGACCAAUCCAUGUUUGCGUCCAUUUCCACAGUCUCAAACUUU